UGCCAGCCGCCGGCGGUAAGACGAAGGUGGCAAACGUUGCUCGGAAUUACUGGGCAUAAAGCGCGCGUAGGUGGCUUGGUAAGCGAGGGAUGAAAUCCCAUGGCUCACCCAUGGAACUGUCUCUCGAACUACCUGGCUUGAGGGCGGGAGGGGGAAGCGGAAUUCCUGGUGUAGCGGUGAAAUGCGUAGAUAUCAGGAGGAACGCCGGUGGCGAAAGCGGCUUCCUGGCCCGAUCCUGACACUGAGGCGCGAAAGCGUGGGUAGCAAACAGGAUUAGAUA
rnacentral:rRNA from 1 species